rnacentral:lncRNA from 1 species
CCGAAUAAAAUCAAUUCUAGAUGAUUAAAAGUUUAAACAAAACUAAACCAAGUAAUUUUUAAUAGAUUACAAUCAAAGCCACAUAAAAAUACAUAUUCAAGUAACAAAAGUUAGUGAAAUAAAUGUGAAUAAUAAAGUAACGAGGAAAAUAGAAAACUCAAUACUAUAGAUUUUCUAUCAAAGAAACCGACUUCUAGUAAUUUAGACCUCGAGCUCUGUGAUCCUAUAGUCGUUGAUCCAAUCUUUUGGUGGAAUUGAGUUCUAUUGCAGAACUCUAGCUCCCAAGUGAACAUGAAACAAAGAAAACGAUAAAAAUUAGGAAUCUAUCAAUAAAAAAUAUGCAGGAGAUAAUGCAAACUAGGAGAAAGUAAUUUGAACAAGGGCAUAUUUAAAAGUGAGAUACACAUCCAAGACUCAAAUAGGUAUAUAACAUUCUGAGCAGUUUAUACAUUUGAAUAGGGGAGAUUAGUCAUAUAACUAAACACCAAAUAGAUUAAGUAAACACAUAACCAUGCCGAUUUUCUAAAAUCGCUAGGCAUAUUCACAACUGGACAUACACUAAGUGAGGCUUCAACCCAAAGGAUUCACAAGGGGAAUAUUUUAAGAUCAAAAUAACAUAUAGAUGGACGACAAACAAGAAGAGAAAUGGAGAUUAUCUUAAGAUGGACUGUGAAUCUUUUAUGAAAGUUUAGUCAUUUCCAACAUAAAAUUGUGAAUAUCAGAAACAAGCUUAACUUCCUAAUCCAAAAAGUGAUAGUGGCCAUAAGCGUUUUGAUGCAACAAAUGGACCAUUCAUCUAUAUGAAGGCAAAGAAAAAACUAUAUUAUUGAACAAACCACAACACCAAUAUGAACUUAAAGCCAAAGCACAUCAAAAUGGACAAAAGAGGUACACAAAUGUGAAACAAAAGAACUAACUAUUUGUGAAAGGGGAAUAAUAGAAUCAAGAAUAUAUGGAGAUCACUCUUAUGUACUUAAAACUACACAUGAAUCUGGUUGGCAGGUAAAACAAAUAGCAGUAACAAGAUGCGAUAAACACAAACAUAUUCACAAAUACUUGGCCGAAUGGGAAGACAAAGGAAUAUACAACAACUUUUACACUAUUUCGCUCCCAAUAGUUGCGAAUCUACCUUAGGAGAAAACAAACUUCAAAGUCAAUACACGCGCAAUAAAUGGCGGAACCAUGACCAAACUUGAAACCGAAGGCAAAGCACAUAUUUAUACACUUACAGACUUGCACAUUCAUAGGAAAAGUUAUUUUAUUUUCAGAAUUAAAAUAUACUCUUAUCCACAAAGUUAAAGAAAAAUAUUGUUCCCCAAAACAAAAAUAGAUGAAAGAUCAGACACACGAAGGAGAAACAGAGAACGGGUUUGCACCUUUUGUUGGGCAGCAAACCAAAGCUCCCAAGUCAAGACUCUUUCCGGCCACCAAACUCGAGUUUCAAUACUCAAACUUACACCGAAAAUAAGAUAAGAAACCAGAAAUUUUCAUGACUUUUCUUGUGAAUUUUUUUUGUGACUGUAAUCUGAAUUUUCUAAUCUCCAACCUUUUUUGUGUUCCACCUCUUCUCCCCUUUUCUCCGAUGUUUAACCCCGUCCUCAAAGGGGUCGGAAUUCAGCUAUUUAUAGCCAAAUCCGAACUUUAAAGUCCGGAUUUGAGACAAUGAAUAAGUAAAAAUGAGGGAAAAACAGACAAUUUGAAUUUUUGAAUUCAAAUUUCUAAAGAAAAUCCAUCGAUUUCAACCUUUUUCAGGACACUUGUGGCGGAUUUGACGUCAAUGAUGAGUUGUUACAUCAUUUUCGGCCCAAUUUUCCUGAGUUCAGCGAGUUUCACGUGACAAGAUGGGGCGGUCCGUGUAGAGGCGCAGCUAUGGCUGCCUAUGGCUGCCAUUUUUGUCGAUGAAAAUGUAGACAUUGAAAUUUUGUGGACUCCACAAAAAGAGUUCAAUUUUGAUUAAAUUUUUUGGGGCUACUUUACCCUAAAUCUAGAUGACUGCUCUACCUAAACUCUAAAAUUAUGAUUAUAUAAAGGGUCAAAUAUCCCUUUAAAUAGGCAUCUCCAAAAUCUUCAAAGUCCCCAAUAAAUUCAUGGGAUAUUUAUAGAUUAAAAUCAUGUCUUCUUGAUAAUCAAAUACAUCAAGAAUAAGACAAACCCUUCUUUCAUGGAGAUUAAAUCUAAAUAUUCCUACGUUCGAGAAAUACACCACUAAUGGCACUCGAAUUACGGAGAAAUUCAUAUCCAAAUUUUCUUUCUACAUUCGAGAAAUACGCCACUGACGAUCCUCAAAUUAAGGAGAAAAUCAAGAGAGAAGAAUCAAGGGAUGAAUAGAAUUGUACCCACAUCGUUUAUCAAUAAAAUUCUUGUUUCUUCAUAUUUUUAUUUGUGGUUGAAUUUUAAUUUCUAUGAAUUAAAUUAUGUUGCAAGCAGUAGAAGAGAAAAGAAAAGAGAGAAAGUCUUCAUAUUGUUGUUUUUGAGAGAGAGAGAAAUAGGUCAAUGUAUGGAGAAGGGGAAUGUGCGUAUUGGGAGUGUAAAAAGUCGUAUAAAGGGCAGAUUAUGUUGACUAUAAUUUGAACCGUCCAAUUAUUUGAUUGGACAGUUAGAAAUAAACAUCCAAAAAUAAUACUCCCACUGUUUCAAAAAGAAUGACCUACUUUCCUUUUUACUCCAUUUCAAAAAGAAUUACCCCUUUUCUUUUUUGACAAUACUUUAAUUUCAACUUUUCACAUGGCAUGUUUAGGGCCACAAGAUUAAAGGGCAUUUUGAUAUAUUUGACACAACUUUAAUUUAAGGCCACAAAUUCAAAAGUUUUUUUUUAUUUUCUUAAACUUUGUGUCAAGUCAAAGUAGGUCAUUAUUUUUUAAACGGAG